rnacentral:ncRNA from 1 species
GUAGGAAAUUUGAGAGGAGCUGUCCUUAGUACGAGAGGACCGGGAUGGACUGACCUCUGGUGCACCAGUUGUUCCGCCAGGAGCAUAGCUGGGUAGCUAAGUCGGGAAGGGAUAAACGCUGAAAGCAUCUAAGCGUGAAGCCCCCCCUCAAGAUGAGAUUUCCCAUAGCAUAAGCUAGUAAGACCCCUUGAAGAACACAAGGUUGAUAGGUCAGAGGUGUAAGUGUGGUAACAUAUUUAGCUGACUGAUACUAAUAGGUCGA